CUGGCUCUCCUUCGCAGGCUCAGACGGGAAAGGGCCACGCGCGGGGCCGCCCAGAGUCUUAUCCACGGACUCUCGGCUUCCGGCGCAUUUCACGCAGCCGUAGUUGCUCCUUCCUAAUGGCGCUGGAUCCGCUCUGCCAGUCAUCGGCAUCCCCGCGCGGCAGCCUCCGUUUUGCGCAUACGCAGUCGCGGUUUUCACUUUCUCGGCACGCCUGUUCCAAAAUGGCGGCGUAGCGAAGACGCGUGUUGAGACUGGUGUCUCUUCCAGGCCCCCCGUUCAGGACUCUCCUCGCUGAUUUUUAAUGUUGGGUUAUUCCAGGUUUCCUUUCUGUAAAUGGGUAAAGCCUGUGCUAUACCUUAGCACUUUUUAUGCUGCGCCUAGACCUAUACUUCCAAUGGGGCAUGCGUACUGAUAACUGUGAAGCAAAUGAUCGCUUCUAAAGUAAGGGCACGGUGCCCUUCCUUUGGUCAAAGUUUCGCUUUGAUAUUUUUCGAAGACAGAAAAAUACUGUUAAAAAGGAAAAGGCCUCUUGGUAAAGAAAUGUAUUGUUAUUUCUCAGAAUAUUGCCUAGACUAGAAAGAAGAAAAGCCAUGCAGCCUUUGCAUGUAUGUCAGGUUUGGGGAGGGAGCGUAGCUCAGUCGAAGAACAUCUACUUUGCAUGUAGGCGGUCAGCUCUAUCUGGUAUCUUCCAUAUUUAAAAAAAGGAUUAGACAGUAGCUGAUGGACUCGGGUGAAAGACUUCUACCUGACACUCUGAAUACCUGUUGCUAGUCUUGAGUCAAUAUUACUGACUUCGAUGGACCACUGAUCUGAUGAUUCAAUGUAAAGCAACUUCAGGUAGGGCUUGGAAUUCUCCCGGAGUUACAACUGAGAUCCACAGUUCUCCUGGAGGAAAUGGCAUUGAAUGGCUCUGGAUGUUCUUGGCUGUAUCCUCUAUGGAGCGAUCUAACUGUGCGGUGGACUGAGAAAGGAAACAAAAGUAGAAAACUGAAACAGAAGACCUUGAUGGGCUGUAUUCAGUUUAGAGAAUCACACUGCACGGACCUGAUAUAGGAAAACAUUUCCAGAGCUGAGUAGCAAAUUUUGCAUUGCAGAAGUAACAUUUUAUCAAGCUAAAGCACCAAAUUGCCACAUUCUGUACUAUGCAUGUGACUGAAUUAAGUGUUGUUUUGGAAUGUCAGUUUUUAUGCUUGGGGUUCACCAUGCUGGAAGGGAUCCUCCUGCUCCUUCUGAUAUGGUGGACAUUUGAGGGAACUGCACACACAUGCCAGAGGACUCUGCUUCAUGACCGAAAGUACAAUCUCAGUUCCUGUAAAUUUUGCAUCCCAAUCUUAUGCACAUUUACUUUGAAGCCAGUCUCAUUUAAUCUAAGGCUCCACAUUCAGUCCCUGACAUCUCUGAUUAAAGAAUCAUAGGUGGGAGGGCUGAACAUAGGCGGAGCGAGGGGGAACUGCACCCGGGGCACGCACACACCCUGCACCCCUGCUGCGGCAGCCCACGCCCCCAGAACUCCAUGCCCCGGGACGCACCUGCAGCAUUACGCCCCCUUGUCCCAUGAGUGCUACGCCACUGGGGCUGAGCAAGACCUUUAGUUGUGGUCUUGGAGAGCAGAUCCCUGCAACAUUGGUUGAGACGCUACUCUCUUUUGAAGCUCCACGUGGGCUCAGAAAUAGUUUUAAGUUUUAAGAAAUGCCCAAUUUUAACUCUUGAUAUUUAGAAAAGGUUCUUUGGUGGCAGGGCUGGACAGACCUCAGUGAGGCCCCAAAGAGUCAUUGCCAGUCACAGGAGACUACCAGGGCUGUGUUGAAUCCAAGGGGUAGUUCAUUACAAAUGUGUUCCUUAUUGACUUCCACCAAUCAGAGAAGGGGGAACAGAAUAAUAUUCUGCUACAAGGCCUUGUCACUCUCUGGACCUGCACAGCAGCCUUGUCACAUGCCACAGGUAGGAUAGUUUCUGCCCUGCCUCACCAUCAUCCCUGUUGCCUUUUACCUGGUUGAGGAUUGCAGCUUCGGGCAGCUGCGUCCCCACGUGUCUUUGGUACACCUGCACCGUCGGCCGUGUCAGCUUCUCCCGUGUCUCCAAGUACUUGCUGCUGUCAGGGCCCUGUAGAAGGAAAAGGGCUUGACAACUAGGGGUGGGCACUGGGGAUGGGAGAAGGGAGUUUGUGGGGAGAACGGCUUGGCCUCACUGAAUCCAAGCAGCUGGAGGGGAGGACAGAUUGUGGCACGCUCACACACACCCCGCCCUAAAUUGCUCACCAAGGUCAUUCCUCGGGCAAUAGACAUCUCGUGCAUGAAACGCUGGCAGCGGUGCAGUGUGCUGCGUGUUCCUCCCAAGGCCAAGUCUAACCGUCCCUGCAGAGGAAGGGGAGGGGGAGAGAGAAAGGGAAACUCACCUGUGUGAUGAAGCAUAUAUAUAUAUUAU